AUUGAACGCUGGCGGCAGGCCUAACACAUGCAAGUCGAGCGGUAGCACAGAGAGCUUGCUCUCGGGUGACGAGCGGCGGACGGGUGAGUAAUGUCUGGGAAACUGCCUGAUGGAGGGGGAUAACUACUGGAAACGGUAGCUAAUACCGCAUAACGUCGCAAGACCAAAGAGGGGGACCUUCGGGCCUCUUGCCAUCAGAUGUGCCCAGAUGGGAUUAGCUAGUAGGUGGGGUAACGGCUCACCUAGGCGACGAUCCCUAGCUGGUCUGAGAGGAUGACAAGCCACACUGGAACUGAGACACGGUCCAGACUCCUACGGGAGGCAGCAGUGGGGAAUAUUGCACAAUGGGCGCAAGCCUGAUGCAGCCAUGCCGCGUGUAUGAAGAAGGCCUUCGGGUUGUAAAGUACUUUCAGCGGGGAGGAAGGCGAUAAGGUUAAUAACCUUGUCGAUUGACGUUACCCGCAGAAGAAGCACCGGCUAACUCCGUGCCAGCCGCCGCAGUAA
rnacentral:rRNA from 1 species